AGAGUGAACGCUGGCGGUAGGCCUAACACAUGCAAGUCGAACGGCAGCACGGUAAGAGCUUGCUCUUAUGGGUGGCGAGUGGCGGACGGGUGAGGAAUACAUCGGAAUCUACCUUUUGGUGGGGGAUAACGUAGGGAAACUUACGCUAAUACCGCAUACGCCCUUCGGGGGAAAGCCGGGGACCAGCAAUGGCCUGGCGCUGAUAGAUGAGCCGAUGUCGGAUUAGCUAGUUGGUGAGGUAAUGGCUCACCAAGGCGACGAUCCGUAGCUGGUCUGAGAGGAUGAUCAGCCACACUGGAACUGAGACACGGUCCAGACCUCCGUAACGGGAGCAGCGAGGUGGGGAAUAGUUGGACAAGUGGGACGACGAAGCCUGACUACCGACGACCCAGUACCCGGACGGU
rnacentral:rRNA from 1 species